GGACGGGUGAGUAACACGUGGGAACGUGCCUUUAGGUUCGGAAUAACUCAGGGAAACUUGUGCUAAUACCGAAUGUGCCCUUCGGGGGAAAGAUUUAUCGCCUUUAGAGCGGCCCGCGUCUGAUUAGCUAGUUGGUGAGGUAAAGGCUCACCAAGGCGACGAUCAGUAGCUGGUCUGAGAGGAUGAUCAGCCACAUUGGGACUGAGACACGGCCCAAACUCCUACGGGAGGCAGCAGUGGGGAAUCUUGCGCAAUGGGCGAAAGCCUGACGCAGCCAUGCCGCGUGAAUGAUGAAGGUCUUAGGAUUGUAAAAUUCUUUCACCGGGGACGAUAAUGACGGUACCCGGAGAAGAAGCCCCGGCUAACUUCGUGCCAGCAGCCGCGGUAAUACGAAGGGGGCUAGCGUUGCUCGGAAUUACUGGGCGUAAAGGGAGCGUAGGCGGACAUUUAAGUCAGGGGUGAAAUCCCGGGGCUCAACCUCGGAAUUGCCUUUGAUACUGGGUGUCUUGAGUGUGAGAGAGGUAUGUGGAACUCCGAGUGUAGAGGUGAAAUUCGUAGAUAUUCGGAAGAACACCAGUGGCGAAGGCGACAUACUGGCU
rnacentral:rRNA from 1 species